GUGCUCACUUCAGUAGCACAUAUACUAAAUUGGAACAAUAGAGAAGAUUAGCAUGGCCCCAGCACAAGGAUGAUGCACAGAUUCAUGAAGCAUUCUGUAUUUUU